GUUCUGACAUGUCUCUGCUGACGUCAUCAAAAUUUAAAUGACGGUUAUUUUUCUCUGUUAUCCUGCCUAAGUGGAUUUUUCCACGGGCCUUAUCGACUAUCUCUAUAAUAAUACGCCAGUUCUGUCUGUCUGUGACUUUUGCAAAGUGGAUUAUAUUCUUCACAAUUUUCUUUAACAAAUUCUAUAAAACAUUGGCUAUAAAAUUGUUCUGUAAUUUACCAAACUUUAACGCUAAAAUAGUAUUGACGUCAAAGGAAAGUUAAUUAAGAUUAGUGAAGCCAUUACAGUGCACCUAAAAUUUUGAGGCCAAAUAACUUGGAAACGAGUUGGUGACGUCAAUGUUUUUUAACCGCGUGGGUAACUAGGGACCACCUGGGACCAAUUUGGGUAAUUUUCCAAACCUGGGUCCCCAAAUCCGUUUCGGAAUGAACGGGUUUAUGACGUCAUUAAAAAACCUUUAAACCACAAUAUUUCCGUAACCGUUGGUCAAAAGUACAUGAUCCUAUACAUUUUCUUGAUCAGCGUUUCAAGAUCUAUACGAGGGAGGCAACAGGUACAUGAAUUUCUAUAAAAAAAUUUUUUGUGUUUUCACGGGCCUUUGCUGACGUCAGCACAACUUUUAAACACUUAUAUCUCUUUUUGCGUUCCUCGAGAACAUAUCAUCCUACACAUUAUUUUGAUCAGCGUGAUUCAACCUCUACAUAUUACAAUAAAAUAAUAAAAUAAAUUUCUCUAACUUUUUUGGGAUCUUCACUGCUGACGUCAGCAAAACAUCUAAAACAACCUAUUUUUCUAUUGCCCAUCUGCCUAAGUGGAUUUCUCCACGGGCCUUAUCGACUAGUCUCUUAUAAUAAUACAGAGCUUCUGUCUGUGACUUUUGCAAAUACGAUGUUUUUUAACAACCGAGUGCGCGAGUUUGCCGAGUUUUUUUGUUUUGUUUACAUUUGUCUCGCAACCGUUAGAAACCACGUGAUAAAAAAUAAGCAGUAUGAUUCGCUGAAAUGCGUACUUUCGAACGGGACGGCAUUCGAAUAAAAAGUUCCGUUAGCGUAAAAACAAACAAACAUAAAAAUUUCUCGACAAAGUUCUCGACACAAAAGGCGAACUGAAGAAGCGGUUAAAAAAUGUCUUAUUUUCGACGAUCCCUUAGUCACAUAAAAGUGCAGAUAUUAAAAGCAAGAAAAGUCAAAGUGGAGAAGUAGAAGUACAAAAGUAAAGUUAGAAGCCACGAGAAAUUGCUUCGAAAGUGAAGAGUGCAGCUAGAAGUAGUAAAGAAAAGUUAGAAGUAGAAAAUAAAAGCUUGGGUUUAAAGUCGAUUUGGAUUCACAUAUAGUAAGAACUUUGAUAUUUUUAGAUGUUAUGUUUUUAUGUCGCUAGAGUUAAGUGUCCGGCAGACUCGCAUAUUUAAAAAGAAAAAAGUCCAAGUGAAGAAGUAGAAAAAGUGAAGUUGGAAGUGAAAGUGGAGCUACGUGGAGCUAGAAGUAAAGUAAAUUUAGAAGUAGAAAAUAAAGGCCACCAAAAAAAAACACAGAAGAACGAUCCCUUUACCUUGAAAAAAAGGAAAAAAAGUGGUUUAAAAAAGCAUAGCUAUAUAUUUAAAAAGAAAAGAGACCAAGUGAAGAAGUAGAAAAGUGAAGUGAGAAGUGGAGCUAGAUGUAAAGUAAAGUUAGAAGUAGAAAACAAAGGCUAGAGUUUAAAGUGGAUUUGAAAUCACAAAUAGUAAGAACUUUGAUAUUUUUAGACGCUUGGUUUUUUAUGUCGGUGGAGCAAGCAGACUCGCAUUUCCCAGGAAAAGCUACAGUUUCAUAUUUUACCGCGUAUGUAGCCAUAUUUGUUUACGUUUUGUAUGUUGCAUAAUUCAUGACCCUGGCGCGUAACUAAUGUAUUGUCCUAAAAUUCAAAAUGCUACAUAAAGCUGUUGGCUGACUAAAAAACGGAAAACUUUGGUUAUGUUGAACUGUAAUGUUAUUAAUUUUACAUUACUAUUGCUUCCCCCUAUAUGUGUUUUACUAAGCAUAAAUAGCUAGCUUUAGUUUCAGGUUCAGAAUUGUUGGUAAAGGGCAGUAUGGAUCAUCAUACUAAAAAAGAAAAAUUUUUGUGUUCUUAACUGGUUGAUUUUUACACUGUGUGUAAAUUUUUGUGGGAGAGAAUGGUAUGCAACUGAAAUGACUGAUUUUUGUAGAUUUACGUUUAAUGUUUUCUAAACUAUGGCUUUUUCAUAUUUUUGUAUAAGCUUUUAAGGGAAAGACAAUAUUUAAAAUGUGUAAAGAACUUAUUUUUGUUGAUUUGUGCUAACUCUUGCAGGCCAACUUUUUGACAUUUCAGAAUAAAAUACUGAGGGUUUUCAACAUAAUCACUUAUAAGAUGUACAUAUUUGAGAUGCGUUAUUUCUGACAUUGUUAUUAUCCGUGUUGUGACUGUUGGUGUUCUUACUGUCGGUUUUGUGAGUAUUGGUGUUGUGAGUGUCGAUGUUGUGAGUGUCGUUGUUGUAACUUUUUAUCAACUAGAUUUUGCACCUUGCAAGCUGUUCUUUUUUUAUUUUGUGUAAGAUUUGACAUUUGACAUUUUGUGUAAGAUUUUAAGAACAUUUUUUUUCUAUAUGCAUUUCUUACGUCAGCAAAAAACAUCUAAAGCAACUUAUUUUUUUAAUGGCCUUUUGCCUAAGUGGAUUUUUCCACGGGCCUUAUCGACUAGUCUCUUAUAAUAAUACAGAGAUUCUGUCUGUGACUUUUGCAAAGUGGAUAAAAUAUAAAAUACAUAUACAUACAUAAAACGGUUCUGUAAUUUAUCAAACUUUAACGGUAAACAAUAUUAACGUCAAAGGAAAGUAUAUUAACAUAAGUGAAGCCAUUACAGUGCACUUAAAACUUUGAGGCCAAAUAACUUGGAAACGAAGUGGUGACGUCAACAAUUUUUCACCGCGUGGGUAACUAGGGACCACCUGGGACCAAUUUGGGUAAGUUUUCCAAACCUGGGUCCCAAAAUCUGUUUCGGGAUGGACAGGUUAAUGACGUCAUCAAAAAAUCUUCAGACCCUAAUAUCUCUGCAACCGUUUCUCAAAAGUACAUGAUCCUAUAUAUUUCCUUGAUCAUUGUUUCAAGAUCUAUACGAUGAAGGCAACAGGUAUACAAAUUUCUAAAAAAAUUUUUUGGGGUUUUGACAGGUCAUUGCUGCCGUCAGGAAACAUUUUAAACCUUUAUAUCUCAUUAAUUGCUUAUUAAAACCACAUGAUCAUAUACGUUGUCUUGAUCAGCAGUUUACGCUCUACACAAUAGAGGCAACGUGAAAACAAAUUUCCAUGAAAAAAUAUUUUGUUGUUGACAGAUCAUUGCUGACGUCAUCAAAAUUUAAAUAAUGGUUCUUUUUUACUGUUAUUCUGUCUAAGUGGAUUUUUCCACGGGUUUUAUCGACUAGUCUAUAUAAUAAUACGCCAGUUCCGUGUGUCUGUCUGUCACUUUUGCAAAGUGGAUUACAUUCUUCAAAAUUUUCUUUAACAAAUUCUAUAAAACAUCGCCUAUAAAAUUGUUCUGUAAUUUACCAAACUUUACCGAUAAAAUAGUAUUGACGUCAAAGGAAAGUUAAUUAAGAUUAGUGAAGCCAUUACAAUGCACUUAAAACUUUGAGGCCAAAUAACUUGGAAACGAGGUGGUGACGUCAAUGUUUUUUCACCGCGUGGGUAACUAGGGACAACCUGGGACCAACUUGGGUAAGUUUUCCAAACCUGGGUCCCCAAAUCCGUUUCGGAAUGGACGGUUUGAUGACGUCAUUAAAAAAUCUUUAAACCUUGAUAUCUCUGCAACCGUUUGUCAAAGAUACAUGAUCAUAUACAUUUUCUUGAUCAGCAUUUCAAGAUCUAUACGAUGAAGGCAACAGGUAUACAAAUUUCUAAAAAAAUAUAUUUAUUUUGUAUUUGCACUGCUGACGUCAGCAAAAAAACUAAAACAACCUAUUUUUCCAUUGUCCUUCUGCCUAAGUGGAUUACUCCACGGGAUUUAUCGACUAGUUAUAUUUAUAUUCGUGUUAGGCUGGACACACACAUUGAUAACAGCUAUAUUAGUUGAAGUGUUUUUAUCUAGUUAAGAAUUUACCUAAUAAAAAAGUAAAAAGAUGUUGAAAACUUUUGAAUAAAAUCCAAUAACAAAUAUAAGCUGCUUUGCUUUUAUAUUUGUUACUCUUUCCUGUUAACUGUUUUGCAUGGUCACACCUAACCAAUAAAUCUAAUGAAAUUAGUGGCAUAGGUUCGCAAUACUUAUCUUUUGAAAUAACAAUAGAUGAUUACGACCAAUCAGAGUGUGUGGACUGUACAGUCAGUUUUUGGACCCUCAAUACUGACAAAUCGAGUGAAUAAAAACGUGUGCACCUCAUCUUGAUUAAUACGCUCGUUGAUUUCAAUGUUGACACAAUCCUGACCUUUAUAAAUAUAAAAUCUUUCGUAAAAUCAACCUCCAUUUAUCAAAAAUUAGAAAGGAGAUUGACAACAUGGUCCAUCAAUCAUGCAUUCCCUAUUAAUUUUAAACAAUUUGAAUUAAUCCUGUGUAUUAAGAACUUCUGCUAAUAUAUGAGUGCUUAAUAUGUUGUCUGCAUCACGACUUAUAAAGUUGGGAUCUAGAUGAAAUAUCAAAUAGAGAUGAGAUAAACAGCUCUACACAUUAGAGGUAACUGAUAAACAAGUUUCUUAAAUAAAAGACAACAUAUUUCUAUUUUUACUUCUAAGUGGAUUUUUCCACCAGCUAAACGGCUAGUAUCGCAUAUACUAUUAGACUGUCGGUGUGUUUGUUACAGGCAAAGGGGAUGUGUUCAUUUUCCUUCAAAGAUAUUGCAGUAUGUCUUCUUUGUCGAGAAAAUCCGCGAGUUUUGUUCGUUCAUCUGCGUGUUUGCACGCAUAUGUUCAGUUUUUGUUUCUUUUGUUCAGUUUUAUUUCUCAGGAAAAAAAAUUUGAAAAUUACCAUUGUCUUUAAUUUGUACAGAAUUAGGAGAAAUUUAUAAGCGCUCAGCAUUUUUUAAGCGCCCCCUCGAUAAGCGCCCAUGCAAAAAAUCCAAAAAUUUAUUACACGUUUUUUUAUAUAAGAAAAACACUGCUUGGCUUCAGCCUGGGCGUUUCUUAAUUUUUCCCGAUUAAAGCUUCAAAUGUUUCUAAACUGUUUCUUAAUUUUUGUAGUUUUUACACGUGUUUUUCUUCUUUUUCCUUACCUGCCGAUUUCAACCAGGAUGGAAGCGUCAUCGAAGAUGGAAACGUAUUUGAUUUAUUCAGCAAUUUUGAUAUUUAGACAACACAACUUUGUAUUUUAUUAAAAAAUUAAAGAAGUUUUCCGUUAUGUUAUUAA